rnacentral:rRNA from 1 species
GAUGAACGCUGGCGGCGUGCCUAAUACAUGCAAGUCGAGCGAACAGACGAGGAGCUUGCUCCUCUGAUGUUAGCGGCGGACGGGUGAGUAACACGUGGAUAACCUACCUAUAAGACUGGGAUAACUUCGGGAAACCGGAGCUAAUACCGGAUAACAUGUUGAACCGCAUGGUUCAACAGUGAAAGACGGUCUUGCUGUCACUUAUAGAUGGAUCCGCGCCGCAUUAGCUAGUUGGUAAGGUAACGGCUUACCAAGGCAACGAUGCGUAGCCGUCCUGAGAGGGUGAUCGGCCACACUGGAACUGAGACACGGUCCAGACUCCUACGGGAGGCAGCAGUAGGGAAUCUUCCGCAAUGGGCGAAAGCCUGACGGAGCAACGCCGCGUGAGUGAAGAAGGUCUUCGGAUCGUAAAACUCUGUUAUUAGGGAAGAACAAAUGUGUAAGUAACUAUGCACGUCUUGACGGUACCUAAUCAGAAAGCCACGGCUAACUACGUG